rnacentral:rRNA from 1 species
UACGUAGGUGACGAGCGUUGUCCGGAUUUACUGGGCGUAAAGAGCGCGCAGGCGGUCGUUCAAGUCGAGUGUGAAAGCCCCCGGCUCAACUGGGGAGGGUCACGCGAUACUGAUCGACUCGAAGGCAGGAGAGGGUAGUGGAAUUCCCGGUGUAGUGGUGAAAUGCGUAGAUAUCGGGAGGAACACCAGUGGCGAAGGCGACUACCUGGCCUGUUCUUGACGCUGAGGCGCGAAAGCUAGGGGAGCAAACGGG